UAGGAUAAAUAUUAAUGCCCAGCAUAAAACACGUAAAAGAGCCAUAACAAAAAUAUAAUUUUAAAUUAUAUUUUUGUUAUGGCUCUUUUACGUGGUUUAUGCUGGGCAUUAAUAUUUAUCCUA